rnacentral:rRNA from 1 species
AUUGAACGCUGGCGGCAUGCUUUACACAUGCAAGUCGAACGGCAGCGCGGGCUUCGGCCUGGCGGCGAGUGGCGAACGGGUGAGUAAUACAUCGGAACGUGCCCAGUAGUGGGGGAUAGCUCGGCGAAAGCCGGAUUAAUACCGCAUACGACCUGAGGGUGAAAGCGGGGGAUCUUCGGACCUCGCGCUAUUGGAGCGGCCGAUGGCAGAUUAGCUAGUUGGUGGGGUAAAGGCCUACCAAGGCGACGAUCUGUAGCUGGUCUGAGAGGACGACCAGCCACACUGGGACUGGGCCACGGCCCAGACUCCUACGGGAGGCAGCAGUGGGGAAUUUUGGACAAUGGUCGGAAGCCUUAUCCAGCAAUGCCGCGUGUGUGAUGAAGGCCUUCGGGUUGUAAAGCACUUUUGGCGGGAACGAAAAGGACUGUGCCAAUACCACGGUUCGAUGACGGUACCCGCAGAAUAAGCACCGGCUAACUACGUG